rnacentral:tRNA from 1 species
AUUUUUCUAAUAUAUAAAGUAUAAUUGACUUCCAAUCAAUAAGUCUGGCCUCUCCAGGAAAAAUA